rnacentral:lncRNA from 1 species
CACGGUGUGUGUGAAAUAGCCAGUGUGAAACGCAGAAUUUUCACUGUCCAAUCACAAAAGCUGCACAUUCACCUAAUUGGCAUAUGCUUGUGAUGCGUUCUGCAUGGUAUUUUAAGUAAAUGUAUACUACUUCAUCCUCCCAUCUGAGUUUAAAAAAUCCUACAAAAAAACGAAAUACUUUAAUUUAAUCCGUGCGAAAACAUUGGUUGCUAUGGUUAACAAUAACCGUUGCUGUAUAGGCUGGUAAACGUGUUCCCACUUAGCUAGCCAACUGAAGAAGCCACAAACUCUACAGCACGAAGGGCAGCUAAAGUUGCAUUUGUAUCUGUUUGAUAGAUUUUCUAAUGACAUUUAAUUGGAUAUAGCUAUUCUUGAUAAUAAUAUCGUUGCAUGAUUUUGCUUGGAUUAGAAAAAUUGAUGUCCGUGUACUGCAUUCACUGCACAGGACUAUAUCGCAUGUCAAACACUGUUUCUAGGGUUGCCAACUGUCCCGUAUUAGCCGGGACCUCCCUUGUCCCGUAUAUUCAUCCAAUCACAGUAUAGUGUAAACGCGCCAAUUCCUGCAAAGUCAUUUCUGUUAUUGUUCGGUCGGUUUGGUAUAUCAAGGAAAUAUGGAUAAACAUGCAAAAAAGACUGUGCAGCUACAACAAACAACGUGAAGCAAAGACGUGUGUUAAGGCUGUCAGUGGUGACUCGACGAAAGCUUUCUGUACUUUAUGCGUCGGGAAUUCUCAAUUGGCCAUGAAGGGGAGAAUGACCUAACUCAGCAUGCAUCCACAUAAAUAAUGCAUCCACAGAAAUGCACAAGGCCAAGCUAGCUAAAUAGCAAUAUCGGUGUAUUCUUCGUGACAUAAUUGGAAAACACCUCUCCGUUUACCAGUUAUUGAGCAGUACCAACAAUCGCAUUCUGAAAGCUAAUUGCCCAUAAUUAGCUCAUAGCUCAUAAUGCCUGCAAGCACGCCUGCGAUCAGUGGAUAUUGAGACAAUUGUUUUACAGAUCUACAGCCACUUAUCAGUAUAUGCUUCCCGAAGAGAGGAACUGCGUGCAUUUUUUUUGUUGCCUUUGUUGACACUGAGUGGCGUGAAAUUCUGCGACAUGUUUGCACACGAUGGCUCUCUCUUCAUCCAGCUGUCGAUCGUCUCCAGCAAAGCUGGCCAGAUCUUACGUCAUACUUCAGGUCCCUUAGGGAGACCUGUCCUGUGGCACUGAAUAGUAUUUUUGAAAACGAAAAAAAAACGGAAGCUGCUGAGAUUUAUCUGUGCUUUUUCCACAAAGUGUGUGUGUUUUUGACCAACUCGUAAAAAAGCUGGACGAAACAACGCUCUGCAUCACAGAUGUUUACGAGGAAGUCCAAAAGUUCAAAAUUUAAGAUGCUUCAGCUGAAACAGGACAGUUUUGUCUGAGUAGACUAAGCAGCUGAUGGACAAACAAUUGUCAGCACAAAGGUCCAAGCAGCAACAGGACUUUGAAGUUCUAUGACACUGUCAUUACAUACAUUGACAAGUGGUUUGAUUUCUCACCAGAAAAUGUAAUGGUGAAACUGAUGUGCCUCUAUGAGGAGCUCUCCUUCACUGACCUGGAGCAGGUGGUGGUUGCCCUCAAAAUGACAGACAGUCAGUAUGGACCAACUCUAUGAAGAGUUUUGUACUAGCUGGGAGGAAAUGCAGAAAGCCAGACAGGAUACCACAAAAUCCACCAGUGAGAAGUAGGUGGCAGUUUUCCAAAACCUAGGGAAAGCCAACUUGAUCAACAUAUUCAGGAUUGUCUCAUUUGUCCUCAGUGUGCCAGGCUCAAAUGCCUUUGUAGAAAGGAUUUUUUUGUCUGAUUACCAUUAAAUGGUCAGACUCAAGAAACAGAUGCAGCACAGAGCUGAUCAAAAAUGAACUUCAAAUAUCUGUGAACUGUGACUUGUCAUGUAAUGACUUCUCUCUGGCUAUGCAAGAGGAGAAAGGACUGCUUGAAUCAGUCAAGAGCAGCAAAAAAUAUGUAGACUUGCAGGAAGUCCUGGAUCUCCCCCGGCAACAGACAGAACUUCUCCUGGUACUCCGCCUCCACUGCACCUUGCAGCUGAGGUCAGAGGUCAGAGUUAGGAGAAAGGGGUAGAGGUCAGGGGUUAUAGUUAGAUGCUAGCGGUUUAGGGUUACAGAUUUAAAGGUAAGAGGUCAUGGGUUAGUUGGUAUGUCACCUUUGGUUUCUCAUCAAGAAUUUGCUGCUGGAUGUCUUUGUGCUGCUCCACCAGUCUCUCUUGGCGUUUUGCCUGAGCAUCCUCCAGCUAGAGCAGGGAAGAGAGAGGUUACCUUCAGUGAUUGGACUGCUCCAUCCUGGAAGCGCUAUCACUUCACAGGAAAAUAACAGUACCAGACGCCACACCGUUGAUUCUCCAACGAGAGUACAGAGUGAUGUCUGGCCACGAGCAGUGGAGGAAAAAGUACCCAAUCAUCAUACUUGAGUAAAAGUAAAGAUACCUUAAUAGAAAAUUACUCAAGUAAAAGUGAAAGUCACCCAGUAAAAUACUAGAAUAAAGUCUCAAGUAGUAUUGGGUUUUAAAUAUACUUAAGUUAAAUAUAUAUAUAUGCUACAAUAUACUUAAGUAUCAAAAGUAAAAGCACAAAUAAUUUCAAAUUACUUAUAUUAAGCAAACCAGACAGCACAGUUUUCUUGUUUUGUUUAAUUUACAGAUUGCCAGGGGCACACUCCAACACUCAGACAUAAUUUACAAAUGUUUAGUGAGUCCGCCAGAUUAGAGGCAGUAGAGGUGACCAGGGAUGUUCUCUUGAUAAGUAUGUGAAUUGGACCAUUUUCCUGUCACCCUCCACCUCUCAAAAUGUAAGAAGUACUUUUGGGUGUCAGGGAAAAUGUAUGGAGUAAAAAGUUCAUAAUUUUCUUUAGGAAUGUAGUGAAGUAAAAGUGAAAGUAGUCAAAAAUAUAAAUAGUGAAGUACAGAUUCCCCCAAAAAACAACUUAAAGUGGUACUUUAAAGUAUUUUUACUUAAGUACUUUACACCACUAUCCACGAGAGACUCUCUGACCCCCAAUCCUUCCAUCCUUACCCUUUUGAUGUUCUGUACCACUUCAUUCACAUAUGAUUUGUUGAUCUCCAACUUCCCCC